UACGUAGGUCCCGAGCGUUGUCCGGAUUUAUUGGGCGUAAAGCGAGCGCAGGUGGUUUAUUAAGUCUGGUGUAAAAGGCAGUGGCUCAACCAUUGUAUGCAUUGGAAACUGGUAGACUUGAGUGCAGGAGAGGAGAGUGGAAUUCCAUGUGUAGCGGUGAAAUGCGUAGAUAUAUGGAGGAACACCGGUGGCGAAAGCGGCUCUCUGCCUGUAACUGACACUGAGGCUCGAAAGCGUGGGGAGCAAACAGG
rnacentral:rRNA from 1 species